rnacentral:tRNA from 1 species
CAGGCUGCACUCUGGCUCGGGUGUGCUUGAAGGCGACGUCCGGCGAAUGUUUGAAUAGCUUAUAUUAUGUACUGCGAAAUUUCAGGUGGCAAUAGCCGGGGUAGCUCAGCUUGGUUAGAGCGUACGACUCAUAAUCGUAAGGUCGCGGGCUCAAAUCCCGCCUCCGGCA